rnacentral:tRNA from 1 species
AGCCCUGAGGUGUUGAACACGCUAGAUUGCAAAUCUGAAAUAGCAGGGUAACGUCCUGCCGGGGCUU